rnacentral:rRNA from 1 species
GGACAACCUACCCUUAGGCCUGGGAUAACCCCGGGAAACUGGGAAUAAUACCGGAUAUAUCGCGAAUGCUGGAAUGCGUCGCGAUAGAAAGCUCCGACGCCUAAGGAUGGGUCUGCGGCCUAUCAGGGUAGUAGUGGGUGUAAUGUACCUACUAGCCUACGACGGGUACGGGUUGCGAGAGCAAGAGCCCGGAGAUGGAUUCUGAGACACGAAUCCAGGCCCUACGGGGUGCAGCAGGCGCGAAAACUUUACAAUGCUGGCAACAGCGAUAAGGGGACCUCGAGUGCCAGGAUACAAUCCUGGCUGUCGUAAUGCCUAAAAAGCAUUGCAUAGCAAGGGCCGGGCAAGACCGGUGCCAGCCGCCGCGGUAACACCGGCGGCUCGAGUGGUAACCGCUAUUAUUGGGUCUAAAGGGUCUGUAGCCGGCUGAAUUAGUCUCUUGGGAAAUCUGGCAGCUUAACUGUCAGGCUUUCAGGAGAUACUGUUCGGCUCGAGACCGGGAGAGGUGAGAGGUACCUCAGGGGUAGGGGUGAAAUCUUGUAAUCCUUGAGGGACCACCAGUGGCGAAGGCGUCUCACCAGAACGGAUCUGACGGCAAGGGACGAAAGCUAGGGGCACGAACCGGAUUAGAUACCCGGGUAGUCCUAGCCGUAAACGAUACUCGCUAGGUGUCGGCCACGGUGCGACCGUGGUCGGUGCCGUAGGGAAGCCGUGAAGCGAGCCACCUGGGAAGUACGGCCGCAAGGCUGAAACU